UCUGCUCAGGGUUUCUCAGUGGCUGCUUUGCAUAAAGGGGCUGUGCCUCAUGUUGGGGAGACUCCAGGCCCAGGAUAAAAGGGCCCCAUGCUGGCCUGGCCCCCACUGCCCUGUGCUGACAGUUCUUGUCUCUGCAUUGACCAGCAGGUUUCCUGAGCCAGGUGGUGUGUGAAAUGUCCAGUCAGCAGAGCCAGCAGCAGGACCAGCCUUCCCUCAAGAGUGCCAGUGUGAAGAACACCCCAGAGGCUGCCUCUGAGGGCCCCCUGAAGUCCCCAGGCUCCUGCUCAGCUUCAGUGCCCAUCUGUUGCCCCAGCUCUGAGGGCUUCUGCCAGUGUGGGUGUGGGUGUCCCUGCAGCUCUGGCUGUGAGUGCUGCUGCAUCUGUGGGUGUGUCUGUGGCUGCAUCUGUGGGUGCAGGUGUGGCUGCCCCUGUGUGUGUCUGGGUCUCUCCAGCUCUGAAGCUUGGGGCCAAGGCAGGUGUAAGGGGGGUGCUUUUGUGUGACCCCCACAUCCCUACUGAGGUCAGAGGUGUGUGUGUGGCUGCUCUGGGGGGCUCCUGCUGUUGUGGCUGUGGAGUGGGUGUCUCCCGAAGACCUUGAGGACUCUGCCAAGCAGGGCUGGAGGAUCCAGAGUGAGGCUCCUCCUUCUUCUCCUCCCUGUGUUCUGCACCUGACCUGCUGAAUCUUCCUUGAAACUUCUGCAUGUCUCUCAGUCUGUCUGUUUAUCCUAUUCAUCUUCUGAUUUAUAGGAAAAUAAAGUUUCUCCACAAUGAA